UGUUGUAGCACUUUAUUUGUCAAUCAACAUUUGAGACAUGAAGUUUUAAAAAGCUUAGAAACUGUAGCUGGCUACUGACGAUAAAAAAUUUGAGCAUAUUCUCACCCACAUUACAGACUAUUUAAGCCAUAGUCGCAAGAACAUUUCAGGCACUUCAUACUGUACCGCAAAAGGAGCCCAGAGUUAUUUAUUACAACGGUGGUGUCACAAAUAGAAGUGGAUUAAAAGGUGGAGUGUUCGACCGUGCAAGUUCAGUUUCUCACUAUCAAAAAAUAUUUCAGCAUUAAUAUUUUUAGACUGGAAGUGCACCCGUUCAUUUAAAGACACCUCGUGAUGUCGUAUUGUACAAAGGCAUAAUGUAUGGUUCUUUACUUGGUGUUGCAUUUGGUGUUGCUGCUCUAUACAAAAUUUCUAUGCCUAAGAAGAAUUAAUUGUAAUUAACAAUAA